UUUCCUUUUAUUUCUACGUCUUCCUUUUACCUUGUUUAAGCUUGAGUGAAAUCUCCAGGUACUCAUCUGCUGUGAUAGGUAGACCAUCUGCUUCCAGCUCUAAGGAAAAAUCCCUCAGCGUCCACACAAAAUCUGGAAAGAAGCUCACGAAGUCAGCUGAAUCUUCAAUUCCAUUGGCAUCAGGGGAGGAUUUCGCCCUGAUUCGAUCUGACAGCUCUGUCACAUAGCUGAAUAGCAAAAUAAGGAAAACUGGCAGAAAAGAACUGUCCUCCAUCCCAUAAUAGUUCCCCAUAUCUACAACCUUCAUGUCACCUUUGUUUUUAACCCAAGUGUCAAUUCUUCAGUGGGUACCUAGGAUAUUUCCCUUGCCCUUGAAUGAUUUCUUAUGUUUUCUCUUUUUAUGCUUGAUUCACUAGGAUUCACAGCUAAACAGCUGAUUUUUAAACAUAGGGCUCCCCGCCCCUUACACUGAUCCUAUUUUGAACAGCAAAAAGGAUACUGCAGUUGGUCCAUGGCCUGCUGGUUGAUGGUUCCCAUGCUAUUGUACACAAAGGUGCUACUCAGAAGUAUUGCUAGGGCAAAGAUCCAGGAGUCAUUCUGGUUGUUACCCUGGAAAUCAGAACACAUUUAGGCUGAGAUUAUGUUUCAUUCUCCUGGUACUUCCCAGAAUAGCAGUAAAAAGAUACUCAUUUUGCUAGUCUUUUUUAGAUUAAUGACCUUUAUGAGAAAAUCAAAUCCAAACAAAAAUGUGAGAGGGACUUGAAUUUUGGAUCAUUUUGUGAUUAGCAUCUUUACAUUAAUUCUCACUAGGUUCUCUUAUGAUCACUGGCAGAUAAUUACAAGACAAAUAGUCAAGGUUGGUGGGCAUUCUAAGAAUUUAAGUUUAAAAUUUUCUUUUCCUAUUCUAUAGCAAAAUUGACUUAUAUAAGAAUAAUAAUACGUGUGGCAACUUUACUGAGCAAUUAUUAUGCACCUAUUUUCCAUUACUUAUCAUAUUCAAAACAGUACUAUGAGGCAAAUAUAGAUCUAUUACAUCUGUUUUACAGAUUUAGAAAGCUGAGGCUAAAGAGGUCAAACUAUUUGCCAAGGCCACUGAGUUAGUGACAGGGUUAUAUUUAAACACAAGGGUGUGGGGUUUCAGAACCUAAAUUCUUAACUAAAAUUCUCUGCAGGAUUGAAUUCAUGACACUGAUUUUAUUUGUACUACCUUUAUGCAUCUAGGUUAACUGGCUUAGCAUACAGCCUAUUGUUAAUGAUUAGAAUACUACCUACUGACCACUAUGAUCUUCCAGGAUUAUGUCUUAAGAAUAUUUUCCUGAUGCCUGGUUGCUAAACUUGGUCUUAGGGCACAUAAAUGGAAAUGAAAAAACAUAUUAAGUGCAAGCUCUUAUUUAAAAAAAAUUAAAUAGUGUAGAGAAUAUUCAGGGAUGAGGGUCUUAUUCCAGAAUGGAAUCCUUAACCCUUACCUUCUCUACAUCUCCCAGGCCCUCAGUGUCCAGAAGAACUAAAGUGUGGCUUGGCUUCUGGGGAUGAGGCACACACCACAUCCAGAUUCCUUUGGUGUGAGACUGCACUGUGGAGCCCAGAGAAAAGCCUGCAAGGGCGAAGUGGGGGCUCUGUCAAAUUAGGAAAUGUGGAGAAAGAAAAACUUGAGGAAGGUGCCAACUUACCAAGUAGAAUAUCUUAUAGAUAGAUGACAGUGGGCCUCCUGGAGAGGCUCCCGCAGAGGAUCAACGAGCGGUCGCCCUACUACCUGGGCCGAGACUACCUGGAGACGCUCAUGGCCAGCCAGAAGGCAGCCGACUGGAUCCAGAUCAGUGAGAUGCUGCUGGGACCUGUGCCACCCAACUUCGUCUUUCUGCCAAAGCACAAGGCCAACGCGUACAAGUAGUCACAGGGUGGGAGAGGGCGUCCGAGGGCCCAGCAGGGCCUCUUACUGCAGAAGAAGACAAUAAAUUUUAUUUAAAAAAAAAAAAAAAAAAAAAAGCCUUUCAAACAGGCUUCUUUUCAUUUAGCAGAAUGUACUCAGCCCCAUUCAUGUGUUUUCGUGUCCUGAUAGCUCACCUCUUUUUAGCACUGAAUAUCAUUCCAUCGACUGGAUAUAUCACAAUUUGUUUAUCUAUUCACCUGCUGAAGCAUA